GACGAACGCUGGCGGCGUGCUUAACACAUGCAAGUCGAACGAGGUCCAUGGUGCUUGCACCGGAAGACCUAGUGGCGAACGGGUGAGGAACACGUGAGAAACCUGCCCCGGACUCUGGGAUAACAGUUGGAAACGACUGCUAAUACCGGAUGCCGUCGCGGAGUGGCAUCACUCUGCGACGAAAGAACUUCGGUCCGGGCGGGUCUCGCGGCCUAUCAGCUAGUUGGUGGGGUAACGGCCUACCAAGGCAUCGACGGGUAGCUGGGCUGAGAGGAUGAGCAGCCACGCUGGGACUGAGACGCGGCCCAGACUCAUGGGGGAGGCAGCAGUGGGGAAUCUUGCGCAAUGGGCGAAAGCCUGACGCAGCAACGCCGCGUGCGGGAAGAAGGCCUUCGGGUUGUAAACCGCUUUCAGCAGGAAAGAAAAUGACGGUACCUGCAGAAGAAGGUGCGGCCAACUACGUGCCAGCCGCCGCAGUAA
rnacentral:rRNA from 1 species